rnacentral:rRNA from 1 species
CCUACGGGAGGCAGCAGUGGGGAAUAUUGCACAAUGGGGGGAACCCUGAUGCAGCGACGCCGCGUGAGUGAAGAAGUAUUUCGGUAUGUAAAGCUCUAUCAGCAGGGAAGAAAAUGACGGUACCUGACUAAGAAGCCCCGGCUAAGUACGUGCCAGCAGCCGCGGGAAUACGUAGGGGGCAAGCGUUAUCCAGAGUUACUGGGUGUAACGGGAGUGUAGACGGUUGGGCAAGUCUGAUGUGAAAGUGCAAGGCACAACCGUGACACUGCAAUUGAAACGGGAAAAGUGGAGUACAGUUGAGGUAGGCGGAAGUAGGGGGGUAGCGGUGAAAUGCUUAGAUAUGACGAAGAACGUCGAUGGCGAAGGCAGCUGACAAAACUGUGACUGACAUUGAUGCUCGAUAGUGUGGGUAGCAAACAGGAUUAGAUACCCGGGUAGUC